AUAAGUAAGCGGAGGAAAAGAAACUAAAUAGGAUUCCCUCAGUAAUGGCGAAUGAACAGGGAUGAGCUCAGUAUGGAAAUUGGGGCCUGUGGCCUUGAAUUGUAAUCUGGAGAUGUACCACCAACUGGGGCGCAGAUGUAAGCCUCUUGGAAAAGAGCAUCAAUGAGGGUGAGAGUCCCGCUUGGCAUCUGCAGUCCCCAGUGCACGGUGUACCUUCUAAGAGUCACGUUCCUCGGGAUUGGAGCGCAAAUCGGGUGGUAAGUUUCAUCUAAAGCUAAAUAUAGUUUCGAGACCGAUAGCAAACAAGUACCAUGAGGGAAAGGUGAAAAGGACUUUGAAAAGAGAGUUAAAAGUGCCUGAAAUUGCUGAAAGGGAAGCGAAUGGAACCAGCGUAACUUGGCGAGAUUGCUGCGUGUCAAUGUGAUUGCUUGCUGCUUCAACGUAAGUGUUGUAGUAAGUCUUGAACAGGACAUGCGCGGUGCUUCUUGCCUUGUGUGUCACCGUCAAUUCGCAACUGGGGAAAACUUCAGGGACAUGGUAGCCUGUCUCCGGGUGGGUGAACGUGUUUGCUGGAACUCAUUUGCGGAUUGCUUGGUGACUAAAUGGUUCCAUCUGACCCGUCU
rnacentral:rRNA from 1 species